GACGAACGCUGGCGGCGUGCCUAAUACAUGCAAGUUGAGCGCUGAAGGUUGGUACUUGUACCGACUGGAUGAGCAGCGAACGGGUGAGUAACGCGUGGGGAAUCUGCCUUUGAGCGGGGGACAACAUUUGGAAACGAAUGCUAAUACCGCAUAAAAACUUUAAACACAAGUUUUAAGUUUGAAAGAUGCAAUUGCAUCACUCAAAGAUGAUCCCGCGUUGUAUUAGCUAGUUGGUGAGGUAAAGGCUCACCAAGGCGAUGAUACAUAGCCGACCUGAGAGGGUGGUCGGCCACAUUGGGACUGAGACACGGCCCAAACUCCUACGGGAGGCAGCAGUAGGGAAUCUUCGGCAAUGGACGAAAGUCUGACCGAGCAACGCCGCGUGAGUGAAGAAGGUUUUCGGAUCGUAAAACUCUGUUGGUAGAGAAGAACGUUGGUGAGAGUGGAAAGCUCAUUAAGUGACGGUAACUACCCAGAAAGGGACGGCUAACUACGUG
rnacentral:rRNA from 1 species